rnacentral:rRNA from 1 species
GUAGCAAUACUUAGUGGCAGACGGGUGAGUAACAUGUGGGUAUCUACCCUUUGGCCUGGAAUAACACGAGGAAACUUGUGCUAAUACCGGAUAAGUCUUUACGGAGAAAGCUUUAUGCACCAUUGGAUGAGCCCGCACUUGAUUAGUUUGUUGGUAGGGUAAUGGCCUACCAAGACUAUGAUCAAUAGCUGAUUUGAGAGGAUGAUCAGCCACAUUGGGACUGAGACACGGCCCAAACUCCUACGGGAGGCAGCAGUGGGGAAUCUUGCACAAUGGAGGAAACUCUGAUGCAGCGAUGCCGCGUGAGUGAAGAAGGCCUUUGGGUUGUAAAGCUCUUUCGUCGGGGAAGAAAAUGACUGUACCCGAAUAAGAAGGUCCGGCUAACUUCGUGCCAGCAGCCGCGGUAAUACGAAGGGACCUAGCGUAGUUCGGAAUUACUGGGCUUAAAGAGUUCGUAGGUGGUUGAAAAAGUUGGUGGUGAAAUCCCAGAGCUUAACUCUGGAACUGCCAUCAAAACUUUUCAGCUAGAGUAUGAUAGAGGAAAGCAGAAUUUCUAGUGUAGAGGUGAAAUUCGUAGAUAUUAGAAAGAAUACCAAUUGCGAAGGCAGCUUUCUGGAUCAUUACUGACACUGAGGAACGAAAGCAUGGGUAGCGAAGAGGAUUAGAUACCCUCGUAGUCCAUGCCGUAAACGAUGUGUGUG